UCCGCUUCCUGCUUGCCCUGACAUUAGGUGUUUUUCAUCCGCCAUGCCCAGUUGUCACAUCAUGGUCCCUUGGAGCCAGCCGACUAAUGACUGAAACCUCUACAAACUGUCCAUCAUGUAAUCAAUGCUCAAGUACAAGGAGAGUGUCAUUUUCAGCUUUUUGCAGUGGACCACAACAAAGCAAAGUUUCCCCAGGACAAAGUUCGGCUGCUUUCUCAUUCCCUUCUUCUGUCGUGAAGACUAUUCUCCAAAUCAAACAAGCAAAGAAGAGAAUUAUAGGCUGUAUUUUAGGAUUGUUAAAGGGACUUGACAAACAAAUGUGCAAUGUCUCCUACUUCAGUCAUUGGCCAUGAACCACCACAGAACAACUGCAUUACUAAGAAACUUGCACCAAAAGACCUUGCCCAAGUCAAUAGAGGAGCCAGACUGACAAGACAGACACCUUGCAAGACCCAGUUGCAGAACAAAGGAAUAAAAUAUACUAUUAUAUGAUGGCUUGUAAACUUCUGCAUAGAGAUUAUAUGGCCAUUCUUUGUUUUUGAGAUGGGUCCCCUUAUAUAAUUCAGGCUGGCCUCUCAAGGUCAGAAUUACAGGUAUGUGUCACCAUGCCGGGCAACAUGGCCACUCUUGAAUACAGCUGAAUGGAGAUAAAUAAUCCUCUCACACUGAUGGACUCCACAGAGACAGAAUCAGUCUGUUUGGGAAAUAAUGGUACUGUACAGCAAUGUACAGCAAGGAUGAGUAUAUUCACCCACAAGAUGACGGAGCGGUGCUUUGUUGAGAUUAUCCCUCUUUGAUAGCAUCAGCUAUUAGAUUACUAGGGAAAGAUGUACAAGGCAGUCAAGCAGUUUUUAAGAGU